rnacentral:rRNA from 1 species
GGGUUGUGAGGUUAAGCGACUAAGCGUACACGGUGGAUGCCCUGGCAGUCAGAGGCGAUGAAGGACGUGCUAAUCUGCGAAAAGCGUCGGUAAGGUGAUAUGAACCGUUAUAACCGGCGAUGUCCGAAUGGGGAAACCCAGUGUGAUUCGUCACACUAUCGUUAACUGAAUACAUAGGUUAACGAGGCGAACCGGGGGAACUGAAACAUCUAAGUACCCCGAGGAAAAGAAAUCAACCGAGAUUCCCCCAGUAGCGGCGAGCGAACGGGGAGCAGCCCAGAGUCUGAAUCAGCUUGUGUGUUAGUGGAACGGUCUGGAAAGUCCGACGGUACAGGGUGAUAGUCCCGUACACCAAAAUGCACAGGUUGUGAACUCGAAGAGUAGGGCGGGACACGUGGUAUCCUGUCUGAAUAUGGGGGGACCAUCCUCCAAGGCUAAAUACUCCUGACUGACCGAUAGUGAACCAGUACCGUGAGGGAAAGGCGAAAAGAACCCCGGCGAGGGGAGUGAAAAAGAACCUGAAACCGUGUACGUACAAGCAGUGGGAGCACCUUCGGGUGUGACUGCGUACCUUUUGUAUAAUGGGUCAGCGACUUAUAUUCUGUAGCAAGGUUA